GACGUAGGGCGCGAGCGUUAUCCGGAAUUAUUGGGCGUAAAGAGCUCGUAGGCGGUUUGUCGCGUCUGCUGUGAAAACCGGAGGCUCAACCUCCGGCCUGCAGUGGGUACGGGCAAACUAGAGUGCGGUAGGGGAGAUUGGAAUUCCUGGUGUAGCGGUGGAAUGCGCAGAUAUCAGGAGGAACACCGAUGGCGAAGGCAGAUCUCUGGGCCGUAACUGACGCUGAGGAGCGAAAGCGUGGGGAGCGAACAGG
rnacentral:rRNA from 1 species